UCCAAUUAUUGGACCCUACCAGGUACAUCA
rnacentral:piRNA from 1 species